UGCAAGUCGAACGGUGUCUUCGGACAUAGUGGCGCACGGGUGCGUAACACGUAUGCAACCUACCUUACAUUGGGGGAUAGCCUUUCGAAAGGGAGAUUAAUACCGCAUAAGACAGUAGCUGGGCAUCCAGCAGCUGUUAAAGAUUUAUCGAUGUAAGAUGGGCAUGCGUCCAAUUAGUUAGUUGGCGAGGUAAUGGCUCACCAAGACUUUGAUUGGUAGGGGAACUGAGAGGUCAAUCCCCCACACUGGCACUGAGAUACGGGCCAGACUCCUACGGGAGGCAGCAGUAGGGAAUAUUGGGCAAUGGACGCAAGUCUGACCCAGCCAUGCCGCGUGCAGGAUGAAGGCGUUAUGCGUUGUAAACUGCUUUUAUACAGGAAGAAACGACUCUUGCGAGAGGCAUUGACGGUACUGUAUGAAUAAGCACCGGCUAACUCCGUGCCAGCAGCCGCGGUAAUACGGAGGGUGCAAGCGUUGUCCGGAUUUAUUGGGUUUAAAGGGUGCGCAGGUGGUUUAUUAAGUCAGUGGUGAAAGACGGUCGCUCAACGAUUGCAGUGCCAUUGAAACUGGUAGACUUGAGUAAAGUAGAGGUGGGCGGAAUUGAUAGUGUAGCGGUGAAAUGCAUAGAUAUUAUCAAGAACUCCAAUUGCGUAGGCAGCUCACUUGGCUUUUACUGACACUCAUGCACGAAAGUGUGGGU
rnacentral:rRNA from 1 species